AAAGAAUUAGUUAAAUUAUAACAUUAGAAUGUCAAACUAAAAUUAUUAAACAUUAAUAUUCUUUA
rnacentral:tRNA from 1 species